CCGCCAUCGACUUCCGGAAUUUGAAGCCGGCUUCCGGAAGCCGGAAUGGUGUCCCCAUGACAACCGACGUUGGUUCUUUGAGGUGAGAGUGACUGAUGAGCAGUGGGGAGAGUGCCCAGAAAUCUGGAUUUUUAUUGCCGUUCCUUUUGGUUUGGGCUUUUUGCCACGACAAGCCCUUUUUUAAGUGAUUAGGAAGGACGCGGGAAGCUGCCCCAAGAAAAGGCGAAGGCCGGAGGUAGCGGUGGACGAAGGGCGAAGAGCGCCGCUGUGCCUCGCGAGUCCCCACCGCCCUACGCUGGAAGAGAUGAGCGUCCAAGUCGGGAGAGCGACGUGUGUCUACCUGACAGACCUCGCCAGAGGCCUGUGAAGUGGUGUGUGCGUCACCCGAGUUAGGAAUCCUGGCUCUGCGACCAGGAAGAGUGACAACUCGGACCUGGUGUAGCAUGGGGAGAAUGCUUUCCUACUUUGCAGAGUUGUUGCAAGGAUUAAAAGAAAUUAUCUUGGUUAACAAGUUGAUUCUGGUGCUGGUACCUGGGAGAUAGCUAUCAAUAUUAUUUAAUUUAAUAAGUGGGGAAACUCAAGCUCAGAGAAGCCACAUUCAUCCAUCCAGUAAGGUGGGACAAAACCCAGUGAGCU
rnacentral:lncRNA from 1 species